rnacentral:rRNA from 1 species
AGCGCUGUGAAUGCAUUACACUCUCUCAUCUCGGAAGCUAAGCAGAGUCCGGCUUAGCUAGUACUUGGAUGGGAUUCUCAUCUGGAAAUUCAGGUGCAGUGUUU